CAUUCGCCUCCCACCUAAAUCCUCGAGGUCGUAGCAAUGCGCUCCCACUACCCUUCUAACUAUUGCAGGCACGUAUUUUGGUGCUAGCUUAGCGCAAAAACCUUUCCCCUUGUCCGAUUGCUCCGUGUUCUUCUUAAGGACCCGCUCUCCCACAGAGUAGGUGGCGCAAUAGGCAUUCGACCGAAGGUUGUAGUAGGACGAAUGCUUCUCAUAGGCGGUCUGGAGGUUUUUCCGGACGUCUGCUAACAGCUUCUUUUGUUCCUCAUUUCCCAGCAGUCCGUCGUUACUGGUGGGAGAAUCUCUAAGCUGGCGAUAUUCCCGACCAUCGGAAAUCCGGUUCCUUCCAAACAUGACAAACGGCCCUAUUCUGCGCGGCGAGUGAGGUGAGACGCCAAAACUCACUUCACUGUCACAUGACUUUUGUCACCCUAUUCUACGAGUCGAGUCGGGUGACGUGAGAGGUUCAUUUCAGGGUGAGUGACAAAAUGAACCACAAGUGACUUGGUAUUCAUUUUGCGAAAUGUCAAAUCCAAUGUUAGCAGUGUUUUGUUUUUUUUACGCUCGCCGAGCAAUUAAUAUUUUAAAAACAUUAAAGAGAAGUUCAAUUGUAUUCAAUUAUAAAUUGUGCCAUAAACUAAAUAUAAAACUAGUGUUUAACUGUUUCGAAUAGUUAGAGGCUUGCCUGUUUGUCCAUGGUAGGCCAAGGAUUAUGUGGUACAGGCGGUAUCUCCUUGGAAAUUCUACCAUUCACAGCGGCCUCGGAGUGGAUAAGUGCAACGAAAAUUUUAACAAAAAUUCGCGCUACCGCAUAGUGGUUUUUCUACGUAAAUACGUAAUAUCAUACACUUGUAGGUAUUUGGUGUUGAUCGUCAUUUUAUCACCGCUGCGGGGAUCACUAGGAUUAUGUGCUCGAUUUGUAAAAUAUACGUUUAUCAGAUCAUUAGAGUGAUCAGUCGGUGCUACGACUGUUUAGUGCAGCAUACUGCACAUUGGUGAGAUGCGGGAAUUGGUCAAAUGAUAACUAUCGUGUUUUGUGAAAUUUAAUAUUUCGUGAGAUGUCUCAUUUUAAUUUAAACUACGCAGCUCGAGCAAUAAAAAUCUUUAAAAAUGGU